rnacentral:rRNA from 1 species
AAACGGGGUCUAAUACCGGAUAUCACUCUCGSAGGCAUCUGUGAGGGUCGAAAGCUCCGGCGGUGAAGGAUGAGCCCGCGGCCUAUCAGCUUGUUGGUGAGGUAACGGCUCACCAAGGCGACGACGGGUAGCCGGCCUGAGAGGGCGACCGGCCACACUGGGACUGAGACACGGCCCAGACUCCUACGGGAGGCAGCAGUGGGGAAUAUUGCACAAUGGGCGAAAGCCUGAUGCAGCGACGCCGCGUGAGGGAUGACGGCCUUCGGGUUGUAAACCUCUUUCAGCAGGGAAGAAGCGAAAGUGACGGUACCUGCAGAAGAAGCGCCGGCUAACUACGUGCCAGCAGCCGCGGUAAUACGUAGGGCGCAAGCGUUGUCCGGAAUUAUUGGGCGUAAAGAGCUCGUAGGCGGCUUGUCACGUCGGGUGUGAAAGCCCGGGGCUUAACCCCGGGUCUGCAUUCGAUACGGGCAGGCUAGAGUGUGGYAGGGGAGAUCGGAAUUCCUGGUGUAGCGGUGAAAUGCGCAGAUAUCAGGAGGAACACCGGUGGCGAAGGCGGAUCUCUGGGCCAUUACUGACGCUGAGGAGCGAAAGCGUGGGGGAGCGAACAGGAUUAGAUACCCUGGUAGUCCACGCCGUAAACGGUGGGAACUAGGUG